rnacentral:rRNA from 1 species
GAUGAACGCUGACAGAAUGCUUAACACAUGCAAGUCGAUGGGGAAGUGGUGCUUGCACCAUGGCAACCAUGGCGGACGGGUGAGUAACGCGUAAGGGACUUACCUGCAGGACUGGGAUAACAGGGGGAAACUCCUGACAAGACCGGAUAAUGUCAUGGAGCUGCAUGGCUUUAUGAUGAAAGGAGACGCCUGCGGAGAGCCUUGCGUCCUAUUAGCUAGUUGGUGAGGUAAUGGCUCACCAAGGCGAAGAUAGGUAGCCGGCCUGAGAGGGUGGACGGCCACAAGGGGACUGAGAUACGGCCCUUACUCCUACGGGAGGCAGCAGUGGGGAAUAUUGGACAAUGGGGGCAACCCUGAUCCAGCAAUUCUGUGUGCACGAAGAAGGUUUUCGGAUUGUAAAGUGCUUUCAGCAGGGAAGAAGUAAGUGACGGUACCUGCGGAAGAAGCGACGGCUAAAUACGUG